GCGCCUGUAGCUCAAUUGGAUAGAGCAUAUGGCUUCGGACCAUAGGGCUGGGGGUUCAAGUCCCUCCAGGCGCG
rnacentral:tRNA from 1 species